ACGAAAGGGGCUAGCGUUGUUCGGAAUUACUGGGCGUAAAGCGCUCGUAGGCGGCAAUGUAAGUUGGGGGUGAAAUCCCGGAGCUCAACUCCGGAACUGCCUCCAAAACUACAUAGCUCGAGGAUGUGAGAGGAUAGUGGAAUUCCAAGUGUAGAGGUGAAAUUCGUAGAUAUUUGGAAGAACACCAGUGGCGAAGGCGACUGUCUGGCACAUUUCUGACGCUGAGGAGCGAAAGCGUGGGGAGCAAACAGG
rnacentral:rRNA from 1 species